rnacentral:rRNA from 1 species
GUACACUCCUGCGGGAGGCAGCAGUGGGGAAUAUUGGACAAUGGGCGCAAGCCUGAUCCAGCCAUGCCGCGUGAGUGAUGAAGGCCCUAGGGUUGUAAAGCUCUUUCACCGGUGAAGAUAAUGACGGUAACCGGAGAAGAAGCUCCGGCUAACUUCGUGCCAGCAGCCGCGGUAAUACGAAGGGGGCUAGCGUUGUUCGGAUUUACUGGGCGUAAAGCGCACGUAGGCGGACUAUUAAGUCAGGGGUGAAAUCCCGGGGCUCAACCCCGGAACUGCCUUUGAUACUGGUAGUCUUGAGUUCGAGAGAGGUGAGUGGAAUUCCGAGUGUAGAGGUGAAAUUCGUAGAUAUUCGGAGGAACACCAGUGGCGAAGGCGGCUCACUGGCUCGAUACUGACGCUGAGGUGCGAAAGCGUGGGGAGCAAACAGGAUUAGAUACCCCGGUAGUCCCA